GGGUUGUGAGGUUAAGCGACUAAGCGUACACGGUGGAUGCCCUGGCAGUCAGAGGCGAUGAAGGACGUGCUAAUCUGCGAUAAGCGUCGGUAAGGUGAUAUGAACCGUUAUAACCGGCGAUUUCCGAAUGGGGAAACCCAGUGUGAUCCGUCACACUAUCAUUAACUGAAUCCAUAGGUUAAUGAGGCGAACCGGGGGAACUGAAACAUCUAAGUACCCCGAGGAAAAGAAAUCAACCGAGAUUCCCCCAGUAGCGGCGAGCGAACGGGGAGCAGCCCAGAGCCUGAAUCAGUGUGUGUGUUAGUGGAAGCGUCUGGAAAGGCGUGCGAUACAGGGUGACAGCCCCGUACACAAAAAUGCACAUGCUGUGAGCUCGAUGAGUAGGGCGGGACACGUGGUAUCCUGUCUGAAUAUGGGGGGACCAUCCUCCAAGGCUAAAUACUCCUGACUGACCGAUAGUGAACCAGUACCGUGAGGGAAAGGCGAAAAGAACCCCGGCGAGGGGAGUGAAAAAGAACCUGAAACCGUGUACGUACAAGCAGUGGGAGCCUCUUUAUGGGGUGACUGCGUACCUUUUGUAUAAUGGGUCAGCGACUUAUAUUCUGUAGCAAGGUUAACCGAAUAGGGGAGCCGAAGGGAAACCGAGUCUUAACUGGGCGUUAAGUUGCAGGGUAUAGACCCGAAACCCGGUGAUCUAGCCAUGGGCAGGUUGAAGGUUGGGUAACACUAACUGGAGGACCGAACCGACUAAUGUUGAAAAAUUAGCGGAUGACUUGUGGCUGGGGGUGAAAGGCCAAUCAAACCGGGAGAUAGCUGGUUCUCCCCGAAAGCUAUUUAGGUAGCGCCUCGUGAAUUCAUCUCCGGGGGUAGAGCACUGUUUCGGCAAGGGGGUCAUCCCGACUUACCAACCCGAUGCAAACUGCGAAUACCGGAGAAUGUUAUCACGGGAGACACACGGCGGGUGCUAACGUCCGUCGUGAAGAGGGAAACAACCCAGACCGCCAGCUAAGGUCCCAAAGUCAUGGUUAAGUGGGAAACGAUGUGGGAAGGCCCAGACAGCCAGGAUGUUGGCUUAGAAGCAGCCAUCAUUUAAAGAAAGCGUAAUAGCUCACUGGUCGAGUCGGCCUGCGCGGAAGAUGUAACGGGGCUAAACCAUGCACCGAAGCUGCGGCAGCGACACUAUGUGUUGUUGGGUAGGGGAGCGUUCUGUAAGCCGUUGAAGGUGUGCUGUGAGGCAUGCUGGAGGUAUCAGAAGUGCGAAUGCUGACAUAAGUAACGAUAAAGCGGGUGAAAAGCCCGCUCGCCGGAAGACCAAGGGUUCCUGUCCAACGUUAAUCGGGGCAGGGUGAGUCGACCCCUAAGGCGAGGCCGAAAGGCGUAGUCGAUGGGAAACAGGUUAAUAUUCCUGUACUUGGUGUUACUGCGAAGGGGGGACGGAGAAGGCUAUGUUGGCCGGGCGACGGUUGUCCCGGUUUAAGCGUGUAGGCUGAUUUUCCAGGCAAAUCCGGAGAAUCAAGGCUGAGGCGUGAUGACGAGGCACUACGGUGCUGAAGCAACAAAUGCCCUGCUUCCAGGAAAAGCCUCUAAGCAUCAGGUAACAUCAAAUCGUACCCCAAACCGACACAGGUGGUCAGGUAGAGAAUACCAAGGCGCUUGAGAGAACUCGGGUGAAGGAACUAGGCAAAAUGGUGCCGUAACUUCGGGAGAAGGCACGCUGAUGGUAGGUGAAGCGACUUGCUCGUGGAGCUGAAAUCAGUCGAAGAUACCAGCUGGCUGCAACUGUUUAUUAAAAACACAGCACUGUGCAAACACGAAAGUGGACGUAUACGGUGUGACGCCUGCCCGGUGCCGGAAGGUUAAUUGAUGGGGUCAGCCGCAAGGCGAAGCUCUUGAUCGAAGCCCCGGUAAACGGCGGCCGUAACUAUAACGGUCCUAAGGUAGCGAAAUUCCUUGUCGGGUAAGUUCCGACCUGCACGAAUGGCGUAAUGAUGGCCAGGCUGUCUCCACCCGAGACUCAGUGAAAUUGAACUCGCUGUGAAGAUGCAGUGUACCCGCGGCAAGACGGAAAGACCCCGUGAACCUUUACUAUAGCUUGACACUGAACAUUGAGCCUUGAUGUGUAGGAUAGGUGGGAGGCUUUGAAGUGUGGACGCCAGUCUGCAUGGAGCCGACCUUGAAAUACCACCCUUUAAUGUUUGAUGUUCUAACGUGGACCCGUGAUCCGGGUUGCGGACAGUGUCUGGUGGGUAGUUUGACUGGGGCGGUCUCCUCCUAAAGAGUAACGGAGGAGCACGAAGGUUGGCUAAUCCUGGUCGGACAUCAGGAGGUUAGUGCAAUGGCAUAAGCCAGCUUGACUGCGAGCGUGACGGCGCGAGCAGGUGCGAAAGCAGGUCAUAGUGAUCCGGUGGUUCUGAAUGGAAGGGCCAUCGCUCAACGGAUAAAAGGUACUCCGGGGAUAACAGGCUGAUACCGCCCAAGAGUUCAUAUCGACGGCGGUGUUUGGCACCUCGAUGUCGGCUCAUCACAUCCUGGGGCUGAAGUAGGUCCCAAGGGUAUGGCUGUUCGCCAUUUAAAGUGGUACGCGAGCUGGGUUUAGAACGUCGUGAGACAGUUCGGUCCCUAUCUGCCGUGGGCGCUGGAGAACUGAGGGGGGCUGCUCCUAGUACGAGAGGACCGGAGUGGACGCAUCACUGGUGUUCGGGUUGUCAUGCCAAUGGCACUGCCCGGUAGCUAAAUGCGGAAGAGAUAAGUGCUGAAAGCAUCUAAGCACGAAACUUGCUCCGAGAUGAGUUCUCCCUGAGACUUUAAGUCUCCUGAAGGAACGUUGAAGACGACGACGUUGAUAGGCCGGGUGUGUAAGCGCAGCGAUGCGUUGAGCUAACCGGUACUAAUGAACCGUGAGGCUUAACCUUACAACGCCGAAG
rnacentral:rRNA from 1 species